UGAACGCUGGCGGCGUGCCUAAUACAUGCACGUCGAGCGCACGGACGAGAAGCUUGCUUUUCUGAUGUUAGCGGCGGACGGGUGAGUAACACGUGGAUAACCUACCUAUAAGACUGGGAUAACUUCGGGAAACCGGAGCUAAUACCGGAUAAUAUUUUGAACCGCAUGGUUCAAAAGUGAAAGACGGUCUUGCUGUCACUUAUAGAUGGAUCCGCGCUGCAUUAGCUAGUUGGUAAGGUAACGGCUUACCAAGGCAACGAUGCAUAGCCGACCUGAGAGGGUGAUCGGCCACACUGGAACUGAGACACGGUCCAGACUCCUACGGGAGGCAGCAGUAGGGAAUCUUCCGCAAUGGGCGAAAGCCUGACGGAGCAACGCCGCGUGAGUGAUGAAGGUCUUCGGAUCGUAAAACUCUGUUAUUAGGGAAGAACAUAUGUGUAAGUAACUGUGCACAUCUUGACGGUACCUAAUCAGAAAGCCACGGCUAACUACGUG
rnacentral:rRNA from 1 species